GAUGCCUGCUGCUUAUCCCUUCCCACAAGGUUUUCAGUCUUGUUGCAGGGGAGAUAGGCACUGGGUACAGGUCCAGCUGCUGGGCAAAGCGAAGGGAAAGGGAGGGAGCUCCUCUUCCAGCAUCCCCAAAGCCUGCCCUCCCCAUGGGUGCUGCCUUCAGACCUCCUUGGGGACCAAGGAAGGCAAAGCAUGGUGCUGUGGAGCAGAGGAUGGCCUGGUUUCUGUCCUUUCCUGCGCUCUACCUGCUCCUUGUAGAGGUGAGAGGAAUAUUCAUUUCUAGAGCUGUCGACUAAGUGUGAAAAUUGACCUGCUGGGGGG
rnacentral:lncRNA from 13 species